rnacentral:rRNA from 1 species
AUGCUUAUGAAGGAGGGUUUUAUUUCUUCUUAUGCCCGAGAUGAAAUAUUACAUGGUCUUGAAAGGAUUAAAAAGGACAUUGAAGAAGGAAGAUUUCAGUGGAGGGAUAAUAAAGAUCUAAGGACUAAUAUUAUUGACACACUCAUUGAUAUAGUUGGAGGGCCAGCCAAGAGACUGGAUAGAGUGAUAAGUCAUUAUGUUCAACUGCUAACAGUCCUCCAAUCAUGGUGUCAUGAUUCCAUUGAUCAAGUUAUUGCUCAAACAAAAGAACUCCAGACUGAGCUUUUUUUGCUAGCAAUCAGAAAUGGGGGAUUGGUCCUCCCUAGCAUAUGGAGGCGUGCAAACUGGAUUCUACUUGGUGAUGUGGUAUUGUCGUAA